rnacentral:rRNA from 1 species
UACGUAGGGCGCAAGCGUUGUCCGGAAUUAUUGGGCGUAAAGAGCUCGUAGGUGGCUUGUCGCGUCGGUUGUGAAAGCCCACAGCUUAACUGCGGGCCUGCGGUUGAUACGGGCGGGCUAGAGUUCGGUAGGGGAGACUGGAACUCCUGGUGUAGCGGUGAAAUGCGCAGAUAUCAGGAGGAACACCGGUGGCGAAGGCGGGUCUCUGGGCCGAUACUGACGCUGAGGAGCGAAAGCGUGGGGAGCGAACAGG